rnacentral:rRNA from 1 species
CAAUAGCGUAUAUUAAAGUUGUUACAGUUAAAAAGCUCGUAGUUGAAUUUCUGUCAAUUGCAGGCUAGGUCGCGAAAGUGAUUUCAGGUCAGCGUUGAUAUAUUUUGAGGUGCUCAGCUCCUUCAGUGGAGAGGAGUAUGCUCAGAAAGUUACUUUGAGAAAAUUAGAGUGUUUCGAGCAGGCAUUUGCCUUGAAUACUACAGCAUGGAAUAACGCGAUAGGACUUUGGUCCUUUCUUGUUGGUUCAGAGGACUAAGGUAAUGAUUAACAGGGACAGUCGGGGGCAUUCGUAUUUAACUGUCAGAGGUGAAAUUCUUAGAUUUGUUAAAGACGAACUACUGCGAAAGCAUUUGCCAAGGAUGUUCCCAUUAA